CCCAGACAGCCAGGAUGUUGGCUUAGAAGCAGCCAUCAUUUAAAGAAAGCGUAAUAGCUCACUGGUCGAGUCGGCCUGCGCGGAAGAUGUAACGGGGCUAAACCAUGCACCGAAGCUGCGGCAGCGACACUGUGUGUUGUUGGGUAGGGGAGCGUUCUGUAAGCCUGCGAAGGUGUCCCGUGAGGGAUGCUGGAGGUAUCAGAAGUGCGAAUGCUGACAUAAGUAACGAUAAAGCGGGUGAAAAGCCCGCUCGCCGGAAGACCAAGGGUUCCUGUCCAACGUUAAUCGGGGCAGGGUGAGUCGACCCCUAAGGCGAGGCCGAAAGGCGUAGUCGAUGGGAAACAGGUUAAUAUUCCCGUACUUGGUGUUACUGCGAAGGGGGGACGGAGAAGGCUAUGUUGGCCGGGCGACGGUUGUCCCGGUUUAAGCGUGUAGGCUGGUUUUCCAGGCAAAUCCGGAAAAUCAAGGCUGAGGCGUGAUGACGAGGCACUACGGUGCUGAAGCAACAAAUGCCCUGCUUCCAGGAAAAGCCUCUAAGCAUCAGGUAACAUCAAAUCGUACCCCAAACCGACACAGGUGGUCAGGUAGAGAAUACCAAGGCGCUUGA
rnacentral:rRNA from 1 species